CGGUCAUCCAGAAACUACCCUUCGCUGUCAAUCAUGAUGAGAAGGUGAACCUGGAGGAAGGGAAGUGGGAGGAUAUCCAUGUGAUUACAGGAGCAUUGAAGAUGUUCUUCAGAGAGCUUCCUGAACCCCUCUUCACAUAUGGAUUAUUCCAUGACUUUGUCAACUCCAUUAAGAUCCCAGACUACAAGCAGCGUGUC